AUUGAACGCUGGCGGCAGGCCUAACACAUGCCAGUCGAGCGGAUGAAGGGAGCUUGCUCCUGGAUUCAGCGGCGGACGGGUGAGUAAUGCCUAGGAAUCUGCCUGGUAGUGGGGGAUAACGUCCGGACACGGGCGCUAAUACCGCAUACGUCCUGAGGCAGAAAGUGUGGGAUCUUCGGACCUCACGCUAUCAGAUGAGCCUAGGUCGGAUUAGCUAGUUGGUGGGGUAAAGGCCUACCAAGGCGACGAUCCGUAACUGGUCUGAGAGGAUGAUCAGUCACACUGGAACUGAGACACGGUCCAGACUCCUACGGGGGGCAGCAGUGGGGAAUAUUGGACAAUGGGCGGAAGCCUGAUCCAGCCAUGCCGCGUGUGUGAAGAAGGUCUUCGGAUUGUAAAGCACUUUAAGUUGGGAGGAAGGGCAGUAAGUUAAUACCUUGCUGUUUUGACGUUACCAACAGAAUAAGCACCGGCUAACUUCGUG
rnacentral:rRNA from 1 species